GGGGAAAAAGGCUUUGGGAAUGUGGCUCCCUCGGGAGUGUUAUAGACCAUUGCAUAAUACCCUGGGACGGACUGAGGUUCGCGCAUCUGCAAGGAUGCUGGCGUAAUGGUCAUCAGCGA
rnacentral:rRNA from 1 species